rnacentral:rRNA from 1 species
AGGGUUCGAUUAUGGCUCAGGAUGAACGCUGGCGGCGUGCCUAACACAUGCAAGUCGAGCGAAGCACUUUACUUUGAUUCUUCGGAUGAAGAGUUUUGUGACUGAGCGGCGGACGGGUGAGUAACGCGUGGGUAACCUGCCUCAUACAGGGGGAUAACAGUUAGAAAUGACUGCUAAUACCGCAUAAGACCACAGCACCGCAUGGUGCAGGGGUAAAAACUCUGGUGGUAUGAGAUGGACCCGCGUCUGAUUAGCUAGUUGGUAAGGUAACGGCUUACCAAGGCAACGAUCAGUAGCCGACCUGAGAGGGUGACCGGCCACAUUGGGACUGAGACACGGCCCAA